rnacentral:rRNA from 1 species
CCGUAGGUGAACCUGCGGAGGGAUCAUUAUCGA